rnacentral:rRNA from 1 species
ACGUGAGUAACCUGCCCUUAACUCUGGGAUAAGCCUGGGAAACUGGGUCUAAUACCGGAUAUGACUCCUCAUCGCAUGGUGGGGGGUGGAAAGCUUUAUUGUGGUUUUGGAUGGACUCGCGGCCUAUCAGCUUGUUGGUGAGGUAAUGGCUUACCAAGGCGACGACGGGUAGCCGGCCUGAGAGGGUGACCGGCCACACUGGGACUGAGACACGGCCCAGACUCCUACGGGAGGCAGCAGUGGGGAAUAUUGCACAAUGGGCGCAAGCCUGAUGCAGCGACGCCGCGUGAGGGAUGACGGCCUUCGGGUUGUAAACCUCUUUCAGUAGGGAAGAAGCGAAAGUGACGGUACCUGCAGAAGAAGCGCCGGCUAACUACGUGCCAGCAGCCGCGGUAAUACGUAGGGCGCAAGCGUUAUCCGGAAUUAUUGGGCGUAAAGAGCUCGUAGGCGGUUUGUCGCGUCUGCCGUGAAAGUCCGGGGCUCAACUCCGGAUCUGCGGUGGGUACGGGCAGACUAGAGUGAUGUAGGGGAGACUGGAAUUCCUGGUGUAGCGGUGAAAUGCGCAGAUAUCAGGAGGAACACCGAUGGCGAAGGCAGGUCUCUGGGCAUUAACUGACGCUGACGACCGAAAGCAUGGGGAGCGAACAGGAUUAGAUACCCUGGUAGUCCAUGCCGUAAACGUUGGGCACUAGGUGUGGGGGACAUUCCACGUUUUCCGCG